UGGUGUAGGGGUUUCCGGCCGUCCAUCAACAUCGCCGACUUUGGAGUCAAGCAAAAGCGACUGAACGGAGGAGGCAAUGGAGUCAGGGGAAAGAACAGUUAGUACAACCUACAAACCUCACCCCUGGGUGCCAGAGUGUUCCUGUGCUGUGGUGGAGAAGAGGUCCUUGGGGCCCAGCUAAAUUGCGCUCACGACCAUCAGUACAACCGAGUCCUGCCCCUAAAUGCCACAGAUGGAGCUGACGGAGAGUGAGAUCAGUGAAAACCAUAACUCUGUAUGGACCAGAGAGCUCAGGAUCACAGUGCGAGCCGAGAUAUACUAUCGAUCACUUUGGGGGAAGCUGGUGUUCCGAAAAUGAAGAAGGAGCAGGCCAUUCAACAGCGAAUUCAAAGAUACACCCAUCCAUAAAGGGAAUCGGAGUGGAAUUGUUUUUCCACAGAUUUUUAAUAAAAUAAAAUAAAAACAA